UACGUAGGAGGCGAGCGUUGUCCGGAAUUAUUGGGCGUAAAGGGCGCGCAGGCGGCGCCGCCGGCCCCGUGUGAAAGCCCCCGGCUCAACCGGGGAGGGUCACGGGGGACCGCGGCGCUGGAGGGUGGCAGAGGCCGGCGGAAUUCCGGGUGUAGCGGUGAAAUGCGUAGAGCCCCGGAGGAACACCAGUGGCGAAGGCGGCCGGCUGGGCCACACCUGACGCUGAGGCGCGAAGGCCAGGGGAGCGAACGGG
rnacentral:misc_RNA from 1 species